GGUUUUGGCUCAGUGGUAGAGUGCUUCCCUAGCACAAGCGAGGCCCUGGGUUCAAUCCUCAGCACCA
rnacentral:tRNA from 1 species